GACGUAGGGCGCGAGCGUUGUCCGGAUUUAUUGGGCGUAAAGAGCUCGUAGGCGGCUUGUCGCGUCGAAUGUGAAAACUCGGGGCUCAACUCCGAGCUUGCAUUCGAUACGGGCAGGCUAGAGUUCGGUAGGGGAGACUGGAAUUCCCGGUGUAGUGGUGAAAUGCGUAGAGAUCGGGAGGAACACCUGUGGCGAAGGCGGCCCCCUGGGCCGGCCCUGACACUGAGACGCGAAGGCGUGGGGAGCGAACGGG
rnacentral:rRNA from 1 species